rnacentral:rRNA from 1 species
GUCGGCUCAUCGCAUCCUGGGGCUGAAGAAGGUCCCAAGGGUUUGGCUGUUCGCCAAUUAAAGCGGUACGUGAGCUGGGUUUAAAACGUCGUGAGACAGUUUGGUCCCUAUCUGUUGCGGGCGCAGGAGAUUUGCGGGGAGCUGUCCCUAGUACGAGAGGACCGGGAUGGACGAACCUCUAGUGUUCCGGUUGUGCCGCCAGGCGCAGCGCCGGGUAGCUAUGUUCGGCCGGGAUAACCGCUGAAAGCAUCUAAGCGGGAAGCCCUCCCCAAGAUAAGAUCUCCCGGGCAUUAGGCCCCUAAAGGCCCCUCGUAGAUUACGAGGUUGAUAGGCCAGAGGUGUAAGCGCAGCAAUGCGUUCAGCCGACUGGUACUAAUCGGCCGUGCGGCUUGACCUCUU